UUUCUUUUUUUUUUUUUUUUUUUUUUGAGACGGAGUCUCGCUCUGUUGCCGGGGCUGGGGUGCAGUGGUGCAAUCUCGGCUCACUGCAAGCUCCGCCUCCUGGAUUCACGCCAUUCUCCUGCCUCAGCCUCCCGAGUAGCUGGGACUACAGGCGCCCGCCACCGCGCCCAGCUAAUUUUUUGUAUUUUUAGUAGAGACGGGGUUUCACCGUGGUCUCGAUCUCCUAACCUCGUGAUCCACUCCCCUCGGCCUCCCAAAGUGCCGGGAUUACAGGCGCUGAGGUUGGUGGAUCGCCUGAAGUGAGGAGUUCAAGACAAACCUGACCAACAUGGUGAAACCCCGUCUCUACUAAAAAUACAAAAUUACUGGGCGUGGCAGCACAUGCCUCUAAUCCCAGGUAUGCAGGAGGCUGAGGCAAGAGAAUCGCUUGAACUCAGGAAGUGGAGGUUGCAGUGGGCCGAGAUCCCGCCCCUGCACUCCAGCCAGGGCAACAAGAGCAAAACUCCAUCUCAAAAAACAAACUAACAAACAAAUAACAAUCAAAUUAGUGUAACUUUCGAUAAAUGACUUUGGAUUGUUAUUUUGAGGAUUAACUGAUUAUCAGGGCCUUUGGGCCCCAGGCUGUAGUGCUUUUUUUUAAAGUUCCUGUCACCCUUGUACACCUUUGUCACUGGUAGAGGAGGAAGGUGCCACCAUGCUCUGACAACUGGGAGGACUAAACUGUGCGCUCCAGAAAUCCUAAUCAACUUUGUUUGUAGUGUCUGGAUUUUGUGACAACUAACAGACCACUCAAAGGUCUUCUGGCUCAGUGGAGGGGGUUCUUAGCAGUUGGGUUAUACUGAGGUUGCCAGACCCUGGAGAACAGAAUCUCCCAGCCCCACUCCCUUCCCCAGGAAUGGACUAAUAAUUUGUCACACAAUAGGUGCUUGGAAAAAAGUAUAUGACAGACAAUUCACUACUAAGGAUCUUUUUCAACACAUGAGGGUUGCUAAAAUGAGAAUCCCACUAAGAAAAAACUGACAGGAAGAUAAAAGAUGACAGUGGCAAUCAACAUACGAGAAAAAAAAUACUGAGAGUCAAUAAUAAUCAAAGGAACAAAAGGAUCGGGGACACAUUGCAGACACACUUCUGCUUCCGAAGCCCACCCGGCACCAAACAGGUCAGGGCACCCGAGGCGGGCGAGGACCCGCCCUCCUCUGCUUCCCGCGGGUGGGGAGGGGUAAUCGCAGGGUAGGCGCUGGCGUGGGGUCUUCCACCGUUCGAGCAGUAUCAAUUUCCUCCACUCACUUUUCUGACUCUGCAUUUAACAAAUAUUUCUGGAGUGGCUACAUAGACUAGACACUGCGCGUUAGGCUCUGGGUUUCCCAGUCUAGAAGGUUUUAGGCUUGCAAUAACUUUCAAACAUGGGAAGGCUGUUUUGCCUUGGGCAUUUUUAAGAGGACAAAACAACGAUCGGGAUACCGAUAGGUCGGCGAGCAGGCAGCAGGGCGCGGCUGCUCCCAGGAGGAACCCUGGCUCCAGCAAAACCCACCGACUGAAAGUGAAUCAUGGACGGGCAGGGCAGCCGAGGCCCCCGGGCCCAACCUUGGGGACUGAGUCAUUCCAAAGCCACUGCUGCCGGAAACGCGCCCUGCGCCACAGGAGUUCCGUGGGCGCGGCCCGGACCUCACUUCCUCGCAGUCACCUGGGGCCCUCGGGCCUCCUGGACAGACCUACACGUGCCAGGGGGUCUCCAGCCGCAAUCCGCCCCCUUAGUGCGGAUACAGCACGCGUCACCUUUGGGGCCGGACAUGGGUGGAGGCAGCCGGGGGUCUCCGGCCUAGACCCGCUCCCAAGGGAGAUCAGUCCCCCCGCUGCGGGUGGAUCACUUCACAUACGGAAAGGCAGCGGCGACCAGCGACCCGUGCCUUCUGCAAGGGCCCUCCUUAUCCUUGCCUGGGGCCUGAAUCUGGAUACAGAUGGGGGGCCAAGGGCGGACCCCUUCCAUUCCCUCAUCUUCCUCCAGUCGGGGCUGCCCGGACGGAAGGGUGCAGGAGGCGCAGCGUGGGGACUCCUCACGCUGUCUGCGCUCUCACAUCCCCCGGGCGCUCCCCGCGUGCGUGCAAUCCCCCGGGGAACAGGGUGCGAGCAACGCUGGGCACCGCCACUCCGCCCUCCAGGGGAGCCUCGUCUCUCUCCUCCCUUCCUCCAGGGCAGGCUCCACUGCCUCGGGCGCGCCCAGGCCGCUGCUUCCCUCAGUCCCAGGCCGAGAUGCCGCGUCCCUUUCCCCUGGCGAUGCGGAGGGGCGGCCUCCGCACCUCCCGCCACCGCCUUCCCCAGUUACAGAGGCCGCGCGCGGCGCCGGCGCCCUGGCCUUCCCCGGGAGCGCGUACCUUGCUCUCGAUCUGCUUCACCAUCUUGGCUGCUGGGAUCUGACGAGCGGCUGUGACGACCGAUGGAAACGGAUCCAAAGCACCAGACCGAGCUUCAAGAGUCGCCGCUUGCUCUCCCUUUAUAAACUGGCACGCCCGGCGUGCGUGUGGCGGGGGCGCGCGCGCCCGCCCGGACCUCCGCGCCCGCCGCUGCGCCCCGGCCACGCCCCGCCCCUGGAGCCUGCGAGCCGGGAUCAGGGCGGGGCUGGCGCAAGCGUGGGGCGGAGCUCCAGGGCCUCCGCUCCUGCACCCCCAAGUCCAGCUCGCACCUCAGCUGGAAGUGGGGAUCAGCACUGCUCGUGACGGUGGGAGGCGGGGAGACGGACAGUCACCCCCAGAGACACAAGGUCCCUCCCGAGUCACCUGGGGAGGCGUCCGCCGGGCCUGAAUCGAACACGCCCACGCUCGAGAUGGGGACAGUCCUGGGACCGCCCAGGCAGGGCUGGAUUCCUCGAAAAGGCCCGCCACGCCCCGGCCCCCCCAGCCCCGUGAACCCCACAAAGUGCUGAGUAACGGUGACCAGGAAGUAUCUUGGUGUCUCUGAGUGGUUCUUGACCGCCUAAUUCAUCAUAGCCAAAGGUGCUCGUUGAUACUGCACAUUCCUGGACCACACCCAGACAGACAUGCAGAAUCGGUCUUUUGAGAAUUUCUGGUAAUGAUGCAGAAGUAGGCUUAGAAACCAAGCAGAAGACAGGAAGGUAUUUAGCAGCCUGGAAGAUGCCUGAUAAACCCAGUCUGAUGAGGGCUCUCCUGCCUUCACCACUCAACACUCUGCUGCCACCAGAAACUGGAUGCCGUUGGAUAAGGGUUGUCAGACAAAAUACAAGCCCUGUACUGGAUGUCCCAUUGCUACUACCACGGCUGUCCCUGUAAACUAGGUGCCACCUGCCACUCAAAUGGAUUUUCCAGGUGGUUCCUGGCUCUUUGCAUCAUGGGUUCUGAAAAGAACCUGAAUCAGAUGAAGUUUCACUCUUGUUGCUCAGGCUAGAGUGCAAUGGUGCUAUCUCGGCUCGCCACAACCUCCACCUCCCAGGUUCAAGCAGUUCUCCAGGGAGAGCUGAAAUGUUUAUGAAUAUCAAGCAGAACAGGAGUUAUCUGCAUGGACUGAACUAAAAAAAAAGCCGAAGACACAAUUGGAGAAACCAGUUAUUUUACCAAAGCUUUGGAAUGGUGUACUUUCCCUUAAGGAAUCAAAUUUGACUUAUGGAAACAAUGAAAGUCCCUUGGGAAAACUGGCGUCAUACCUUGUGUCUACACAGUUCCUGUACAGGAUUCCUGACCUGUGAUACUUCAAGGAAUACAUAAAAUAUUAUGGCUUACUCAUGUGUGAAGCACAGUGAUAUUCAUUGAAGGAGAAAAAUAUAGCAUACCUAAGUAUUGGAUUAAUACAUGCAUGCAAUUGAAGAUUGGGAUUUAGUCCUAUGGACUCCAGCUGUCUUUAUGUAUCAUUAACAACGCUGGGGACGGGGACUAUGGAUUAGCAGCUUCUCAGGUGAUUCUCAAGCCGAUGGUAGUGAACUCUGCUGAUUUUAAGAGCAGCAAUCUGUCAGUGACUCUCAGUCCUGGCUGCACAAACGAAUCACCAAGGGAACUCUGAAAAGGGUACUGCUGCCCCAGACUCAACCCACAGAGAUAUUGAAUUAAUUAGUCUGACGUGAGAACAGGUUUCCCACAAGAAACCGGACUGCAAGAUUCAUCAGAAAAUGGUGGCUCCCAGGUUCCAUCAAGCUAAGUGACAAAUAACAAAAUGUGUGGGCCUCUCCAGUUGCCACUGCGUUGGCGACAGACGGUGGGGACCCACAGGACAAGGGCUCACAGACUGGAUAAGGCUGGGUCCAUACCCCUUUCUCUGUACAAAUCAGAUCUGAACUGCCUUGUAUGACAUAUCCAGACCUGCAGCUGUAAGUUAUCACAUUUUCCUUCCAAGAGCUGCUCUCACUGAUGAACGCAUUUGGUAUCAUUGGAAGAGAACCACAAGAAGUGUGUUCACAGCGGGGGAACCCAGAGCUCCACUGGCCAUUGGCUUCACAGGUGAUUUCAGAAAGUCCUAGGAGCUUGAAGCCUUGGAAGCACUGAAUCUGGGCUGCCUUUCCACAGUCAAAAUCGGUCCCAUUGACAGUUCCAUAUUCAAUUACUGGUGUGGAACACCUGCAAGGCAGGCAGGAAGGUGAGCUGCCACUCCAGGAGCCAUUGGAGAGGCACCUUCUUGAUGAAUUUCCAUGGAGCUUAUAACCGGGAAAGCACUGAUACUGUAUAUGGCCCCCGUGAAUAAAGGAAAAACCAUUAGGGAAGCCAUGGGCAAGAUCUUCAGGAGGUCCACAGUUGACUGGUUUACAGAGAGGAACCUCUGCAUCCCAGCUGCCAUCUGACUGACAGGUGAGUUUUGGAGCACCGUGCAAGAUGUAGCCCUCGUGGCAGUGGAAUGCCACUUCCUUCAUGAAGCCAUAGUCCAGGCCUUCCAUCACCCCAUUGGCCAGUUGUGGUGGGGUGGCACAUCUGACAGGCACACAGUUGGGAGUGGCUCCACUCCAACUUCCAUUGGCUAGACAAACCCGACUCCUGGCUCCCUCAAGCAAGAAUCCUUCAUUGCAAGUGUAUUCAAUCUCUUUUUGGAAUGUGUACUCGUCUCCUCUCACCUGGCCAUUGCCUGAGACUGGGGGUGAACUGCAGUCCACAGGAAUGCAAAUGGGCUCAUCCUCAUCCCAGUUUUUGUCAUCCUGGCAUGUUCUCCUCUCAGUGCCAUUCAGCACAUAUCCAGGGUCACACUCAUAGUACAAUGUGCUCAGGUAUGUGUAGUUGCUUCCUUUGAUGGAUCCAUUCGUGAUUGGAUUUGGCUUUUUGCAUGAAAUGGCUUCACAGUGUGGGGAAGCACCACUCCACUUUCUAUUCUGUAGACAAAGCCUUAAGUCAGAGCCCACUAGCAUGUGUCCAGGUUUACAGCUAUACUGCACAGCACUUCCCAUGCUAGUCUCUGUAAAACGUAAAAAGCCAUUUUCAGGAGCAGUAGGCAAGUCACAUUCAAUUGAAAUGCAGGACGGUGCACUGCCAUUCCAAGUUCCAUCUUCCUGGCAGAUCAGCACAGGGUUCCCCAGAAGUUCAUAUCCUGGGUUACAGGUAUAUGAAACCAUCGUACCAUACAGAAAGUUUGAUGAAUGUGUAGCAGGAGACUCCUGUGUAUUUUCCCAGGUUUUAGCCACUGCUCCCAAAUGAUAAGGAGGGUGAGGAGUCAGGUAUGGAACUUCCAUCAUGUCAUCUUCUUGCUCAAAAUAUCCGUGGUCAUCUUUGACUUUAGUACAGUCUCCAAAAUCUAUAUGAGGAGGGAGGCCACAGUCUAUGGGCACACAUGUUGGGAUGGAACUUGACCAUCCUGACUCUUCACAGGUCUGCAUGGCAUGACCAGCCACCUGAAACCCAGGGAAGCAACUGUAGAUGAUUAUGGCACCAUAGCUGUAAUCUGCACCUUCUACAAAACCAUUUUCAAUGGGUUGUGGGGAAUCACAGUGGAUGGCAUUGCAAGAUGGAGCAUCUACAUCCCAAUCACCUGUCUCUAAACAGGUCAAGGCACUGGGACCUUCGAGCCGAAAGCCUUGGUUGCAAGAGUAUGUAACAGUCUGUCCAUAGUGUAGGUCUGUGUAAGAGAAUUUGCCAUUCAAAAUCUCCUUGGGUUUCAGGCACUCAAUGGCUUUACAUGUUGGUUUUCCUCCAAGCCAGUGACCAUUUUCUCCACAAAGGGUGGUAGUAUUUCCCACCAAUUCAAAGCCUGGCUUGCAGGUAUAGAGAGCUGUGCUGAGAUAGGCAAGGCCUUGCACAUCAAUGAUUCCAUUGGGGAUUUCCUCAGGUUGGGGACAUUCUACUGGAACACAUUCUGGCAGUGGAGAGCUCCAGGUGCCAUCAGGUUGGCAGAGGGUGGUAGAAUUUCCUCUUAGGAAAAACCCACCUACACAAGAAUACUUGACAGUACUUCCAAAAUGAAGAGCAGAAGAAGGAACAGGGACACCAAAGGAAAUUAGAGGAGGUGGGGUACAAAGAACCAUCUUACAAACAGGGAAAGAGUCAUUCCAUUGCUGGGAUGGCAAGCAUUUCAGGACAGAAGGGCCUUGCAGAACAUGCCCUUCUUUACAGGAAAAUGUCACGACUCCUACCUCGGUGGUCAACUCCUUCAAUACUAGCUGGUUUUCCAAGAGGGGUGGCUCUGGGCACUUGGCAGGCACGCACUUUGGAUUUGACUUCAUAUUCCAUUUGCCAGAUUUCUGACAUGUCCAAGAACUGUCACCAACAAGCUCAUAACCCUCAUUACAGAAAAACUGAACCUUGGACCCUACUUCAAAGUUUUCUCCUUUCAUGAAGCCAUUCUGGAUCAGGGGAGGUUUUCCACAGUCGAGAGGAACACACAUCAGAGGGGAUUCACUGUGCCAGUGGCGAUUGGCUUGGCAGACAAAUACAGGACUUCCGACUGACUUAUAGCCCGGGUUACACUGAUACCUCACUUCACUCUCAAAGAUCCUGCCAGUUGUAUGCUGUGCAAUAGGAAGAAAGCAAGUGAGUGCGAUUUGUAUAACAGAUGAUGGCAUUAACUAAAUCCUUAGAUAGUGAAAAAAAACUAAAAGGUCUAUGUUAAAAUGAAUCAAUUAGGAUGUAAGCAAAUAAUGAUUUAUGGUUUUUCCAAUAGGUCCAUUCUAUUUUUUCUUAAUAAGUGAAAAUGAUAGUAGAAAGUCAAAUUAGGCUGGGCACGAUGAUUCAUGCCUACAAUCCCAGCACUUUGGGAGGCUGAGGCAGGAGGAUCACUUGAGGUUAGGAGUUUGAGGCCAACAUGGUGAAACCUGUACAAAAAUUAGCUAGGCAUGGUGGUGUGUGCCUGUAAUCCCAGCUAUUCGGGAAGCUGAGGCAGGAGAAUCACUUGAACCCAGGAGGCAGAGGUUGCAGUGAGCUGAGAUUGUGCCACUGCACUCCAGCCUGGGAGACAGAGCAAGACUCUGUCUAAAGAAUGAAAAAAAGAAAAUCAGAUUAAGUAAUCCCCACUUCAGAAAUCUUUACCACAGUGUUGAGCCCAUAACAAGUAAAAGAUCAGUAAUCUAUAUAUUGAUUGGUGAACUGGUGAGGCAACACUAAAAAUGAUAAAUUACUCAGUUCAAAAAAAAUUUCUGCCCAAAGAAAUGCUAGUAAAGAAGCACAUAAACAAUUAACAUGUAUUUGUUAAUGUUGUUAGAUCAUAAAUAGGCAAAAUGUUUUUAUGGUUAUGUCUUAAGAAUACUAUCAAAAUUUUGUUUAUAUUCUUAACAUAUUUCUUAAAAAUUGCUGCUGUAACACAAUAGAAAAUAAACAAUAUUCUAUCUUUUAAAACAAAAAAUUAAUAUUCGUGAUCUCAAAAUUCAAACACAUGUAAUAUAACAGGUCAUAAAUAAAAUUACUCAUUUUGUUUAUGCA